UCGCGCGGCGCGCCGCAGGUCGCACGGCGCGGGCCUGCGAGGCCGGCCGCGAUGCAGCCGCCGACGGUGGCCGCGCGUCCGAAGUGCGGCGGCUCGAAC
rnacentral:tRNA from 1 species